GGCUUAGAGUUUGAUCAUGGCUCAGGAUGAACGCUGGCGGCAUGCCUAAUACAUGCAAGUCGAACGCCGGAAGGACAGAGCCUGCUCUGUCUGGAAGGAGUGGCGAACGGGUGAGUAACACGUAGACAACCUGCCUGUGAGACCGGGAUAACGGAUGGAAACGUCUGCUAAUACCGGAUAGGUAGAGAGGAGGCAUCUUCUUUCUAUUAAAGUCGGGACACGACGCUGACAGAUGGAUCUGCGGUGCAUUAGCUAGUUGGCGGGGCAACGGCCCACCAAGGCGAUGAUGCAUAGCCGGCCUGAGAGGGUGGACGGCCACAUUGGGACUGAGACACGGCCAAACUCCUACGGGAGGCAGCAGUAGGGAAUUUUCGGCAAUGGGGGGAACCCUGACCGAGCAAUGCCGCGUGAGUGAAGACGGCCUUCGGGUUGUAAAGCUCUGUUGCAGGGGAAGAACGGCAUGAAGAGGGAAUGCUUCAUGAGUGACGGUACCCUGCCAGAAAGCCACGGCUAACUACGUGCCAGCAGCCGCGGUAAUACGUAGGUGGCAAGCGUUAUCCGGAAUUAUUGGGCGUAAAGGGUGCGUAGGCGGCGGAUUAAGUCCGGAGUAAAAUUGUGGGGCUCAACCCCAUCGAGCUUUGGAAACUGGUCGGCUGGAGUGCAGGAGAGGCAGAUGGAAUUAAGCC
rnacentral:rRNA from 1 species